AUGCUAGAGCGCCAGCUGGAACUCCUUGAGCAGAUCCGGGCAAGGCGCGUAGCCCAGAUCGCCGCAGGGCUACCUUCGGAUGCAGUGGAUCCAGAGGAGGAGUUGGAGGAGGAGGUGGUGGUGGGGGAUGCUGGGGACACGGAUCUGCAGGCGGAGCAGCAGGCCAUCCUCGAUUCCCUCCGCUCGGAGUCGGAUGCAGAGGCCAGUCGCCGUCGUCGGCACGAGAUGGAGGCGAAGCACGGCGCAGAGGAUGAGGAGAUGCUCGCCUACAUGGAUGAGGUCGAGGAGGAGGAGGAGGAGGAGGAGGAGGAGGAGGAGGAGCCGGAGCCGUCCUACACGCCCGUCCACCCGGUGCCCGGCACCGACGUCAUGGACAUCUCCGACGACGAAGAUUAA
rnacentral:rRNA from 1 species